rnacentral:rRNA from 1 species
GACGUAGGGCGCGAGCGUUUGUCCGGAUUUAUUGGGCGUAAAGGGCGCGUAGGCGGCUCGGCACGUCCGUUGUGAAAUCGCCCGGCUCAACUGGGCGGGGUCAGCGGAUACGGCCGAGCUUGAGCAAGCUAGGGGGCAAUGGGAAUUCCCGGUGUAGUGGUGGAAUGCGUAGAUAUCGGGAGGAACACCGGUGGCGAAGGCGGCCAACUGGACCACAACUGACGCUGAGGCGCGAAAGCGUGGGGAGCAAACAGG